GCAUAUCAAUAAGCGGAGGAAAAGAAACCCAACAGGGAUUGCCCUAGUAACGGCGAGUGAAGCGGCAACAGCUCAAAUUUGAAAUCUGGCGUCUUUGGCGUCCGAGUUGUAAUUUGCAGAGGGCGCUUUGGCAUUGGCAGCGGUCCAAGUUCCUUGGAACAGGACGUCACAGAGGGUGAGAAUCCCGUACGUGGUCGCUAGCCUUUACCGUGUAAAGCCCCUUCGACGAGUCGAGUUGUUUGGGAAUGCAGCUCUAAAUGGGAGGUAAAUUUCUUCUAAAGCUAAAUACUGGCCAGAGACCGAUAGCGCACAAGUAGAGUGAUCGAAAGAUGAAAAGCACUUUGGAAAGAGAGUUAAAAAGCACGUGAAAUUGUUGAAAGGGAAGCGCUUGCAGCCAGACUUGCCUGUAGUUGCUCAUCCGGGUUUUUACCCGGUGCACUCUUCUAUAGGCAGGCCAGCAUCAGUUUGGGCGGUUGGAUAAAGGUCUCUGUCAUGUACCUCUCUUCGGGGAGAACUUAUAGGGGAGACGACAUGCAACCAGCCCGGACUGAGGUCCGCGCAUCUGCUAGGAUGCUGGCGUAAUGGCUGUAAGCGGCCCGUCUUGAAACACGGACCAAGGAGUCUAACAUCUAUGCGAGUGUUUGGGUGUCAAGCCCGAACGCGUAAUGAAAGUGAACGGAGGUGGGAACCUUUCGGGGUGCACCAUCGACCGAUCCUGAUGUCUUCGGAUGGAUUUGAGUAAGAGCAUAGCUGUUGGGACCCGAAAGAUGGUGAACUAUGCUUGAAUAGGGUGAAGCCAGAGGAAACUCUGGUGGAGGCUCGCAGCGGUUCUGACGUGCAAAUCGAUCGUCAAAUUUGGGCAUAGGGGCGAAAGACUAAUCGAACUAUCUAGUAGCUGGUUCUGCGAG
rnacentral:rRNA from 1 species